rnacentral:ncRNA from 3 species
ACACGCAAAUUCGUGAAGCGUUCCAUAUUUU